rnacentral:pre_miRNA from 1 species
UAUAUACUCCCUUCUAUCCAGAAAUACUUGUUGGAGAAAUCGAUGUAUCUAGAUGUAUUUUCGUUCCAGAUACAUCCAUUCCUAUCUAUUUUUUCGACGAGUAUUUCCGGAUGGAGGGAUGAUAUG